CUGCUGCCUCCCGUAGGAGUCUGGACCGUGUCUCAGUUCCAGUGUGGCUGGUCAUCCUCUCAGACCAGCUAGGGAUCGUCGCCUUGGUGAGCCGUUACCCCACCAACAAGCUAAUCCCAUCUGGGCACAUCCGAUGGCAAGAGGCCCGAAGGUCCCCCUCUUUGGUCUUGCGACGUUAUGCGGUAUUAGCUACCAUUUCCAGUAGUUAUCCCCCUCCAUCAGGCAGUUUCCCAGACAUUACUCACCCGUCCG
rnacentral:rRNA from 1 species